rnacentral:lncRNA from 1 species
UUUACUACAGGAGAUGACAUUAUAUCAGAGAUACGUGGAUGACAUCUGUAUAAUAUGGAAAGGACAUCAGAAUAAUGACAGAUUUAUUGCCGCUAUAACAGACAGAACCCUAGGACUGACAGUGAAAUUAGAACAAAAUAGUACGGACUUCUUUCGUUUUCUGGAUGUAGAUGUAAGGGUAGAAGCAGGAGAAUACAUUAUCUCAGUAUACAGAAAGCCCACAUACACACCGGUGGUCAUCCCGGCCUGCGGAACUAAAACUCUCAGCAUUUCGAACAAUGAUUAACAGAAUGCACACACAUGUAACAAAGGCAGUAGACAGGAAGAAAGAAUUAGAUUAUAUCAUGGGUAUAGCACAGAAGUACGGAUACAGAAGAAAAGUAAUUGAAGGCAUAGGCAAGAAAGGCAGGGAAUAGUAUAGG